UUAAUUUAUGUAUAUAGAUGCAAAUGAUGAAAGCUGAAUUUUGUGGAAACUGAUGUGCAAAUGUCCGGACAUAAUAUGUCAGAUCUUGGUGAAUCAUCUAAUCAAGGAUACAACAAAUCAAAAUGAGCUAAAAAAGCUUUAGUUGUUGCUGCCACAAGAGAAGGAAAUGAAGGCAUAAGAAUAUCAGAGAGAGGUUCUAAUUCCGUGCGACAUGAUGUAGAAGUCUUGCCUAAUAGCGUCAAUACUACUGAAAAAGGAAAGAAAGGCAGGGGUCGAGCAAAGCUGAACUAUCUCAACAAGGGAAAAUGUGCAAAGUUAACUGUAGAAUUUAAUGAAAGAGGGCAACCAAUUUGUAAAGAGUCAAAUAAGUUAUCAUCAUUCCUUGGAACCACAGCUAGGGAACUUAUACCUAUUACAAAGAAAAAUUGGAAAGAUUUCAGCGAAAGUUUUCUUGAUGACAUAUGGGAGCUUGUGCAGCAAAGGUUUGAUAUUGACAUUUGUCAUAGAAAGUACAUUAUGCGAAAAUUUGGAAAGAGUUGGAGAGAUCAUCGAUCUAAUGUGCUGAAAACAAUUAGCGACAAAGGAAGAACAAUUGGCAUGAAAUGAGCUGCUUCUCUCCUCAAGCCAGAUAACGUUGACUCAAUGGAAGAAUGGCAAGCAUUUGUCAAAGAAUGCAAUUCUCAACCA